UACAGAGGGGGGCUAGCGUUGUUCGGAAUUACUGGGCGUAAAGGGCGCGUAGGUGGCCUGUUAAGUCGAACGUGAAAUCCCCCGGGCUCAACCCGGGAACUGCGUCCGAGACUGGCAGGCUUGAAUCCGGGAGAGGGAUGUGGAAUUCCAGGUGUAGCGGUGAAAUGCGUAGAUAUCUGGAGGAACACCGGUGGCGAAGGCGGCAUCCUGGACCGGCAUUGACGCUGAGGCGCGAAAGCUAGGGGAGCAAACGGGG
rnacentral:rRNA from 1 species